GGUCAGUUGCUACUGGACUCGAGCUGUGCUAGUGCUGGCAGAACUAGUCUAGUGUGUGUGAGAUCGAGAGAUAGGCAACGAGAAAUGGUUGAAUGAUUGAGCGGAAGCAAAUUAAUUUUUUUUUUAAAGUUUAAAUCUUAUAUUAUUUUUCUGUUCGUGAUAGUAAAACAGUCGUAACUUUUGAUUGGAUGAAACAAAAAAUAUGUAUGAAUAUGAAAAAGAAAGGUACUGAAAUCUAACCAACGAAUAAACUCAAUUGGACUUACCAAUCAAAAGAUAUGAUCAAAACAGUAACAACUGACAGAAAGUUACGAGAAUUAAUUUAUAAUCGAUUUCGAGGAAUAAUCAGAAAGAUGAAGUAAUCGCGAUCUUUCCUUGAUCUCAUGAUAACCUGCAACAAAGUAUUAUGAACUUGUGAUGAACCUGCACCAAAGUGUUAGAAAGAUCUAGCACGAAGAUUCCACGAAGAUCCGAAAAGAACAGAGAUGACACCGCCAACGAAUUUUUUUAUUGCA
rnacentral:lncRNA from 1 species